CCUACGGGUGGCAGCAGUGGGGAAUAUUGCACAAUGGGCGAAAGCCUGAUGCAGCAACGCCGCGUGAAGGAAGAAGGCCUUAGGGGCGUAAACUUCUGUCCUUGGGGAAGAAGCACUGACGGUACCCAAGGAGGAAACCCCGCCUAACUACGUACCAGCAGCCGCGUCAGUACGUAGGGGGCAAGCGUUAUCCGGAUUUAUUGGGCGAAAAGAGUACGUAGGUGGCAACGUAAGCGCAGGGUUUAAGGCAAUGGCUCAACCAUGGUUCGCCCUGCGAACUGGGAGGCUUGAGUGCAGGAGAGGAAAGCGGAAUUCGUAGUGUAGCGGUGAAAUGCGUAGAUAUUAGGAGGAACACCGGUGGCGAAGGCGGCUUUCUGGACUGUAACUGACACUGAGGUACGAAAGCGUGGGGAGCAAACAGGAUUAGAUACCCUGGUAGUC
rnacentral:rRNA from 1 species